rnacentral:rRNA from 1 species
AUGAUUCGUUGUUGUGGCUUAACACUGCCUCUGCCGGUCCCAAGCCCGGAUGUGAAAAUGUGGAGGGAGUCUGUUUUUGGUGUGCAAGUGCUACGUUGUGUGUGUGAUGUGUCCGUAUCUAUGUCUGUUUCUUUUGUCUUGAUUGUGUGCAAGUGCUUGAUUAAGCCGAUGAGCCAUACAAUGAAGCUAUGGGAGAGAGUCAUUGAGCACCGCUUAAGAAGAAUGACAAGCGUGACCAAAAAUCAGUUUGGUUUCAUGCCUGGGAGGUCGACCAUGGAAGCCAUUUUCUUGGUACGACAACUUAUGGAGAGAUAUAGGGAGCAUAAGAAGGACUUGCAUAUGGUGUUCAUUGACUUGGAGAAGGCCUAUGAUAAGAUACCGCGGAAUGUCAUGUGGUGGGCCUUGGAGAAACACAAAGUCCCAGCAAAGUACAUUACCCUCAUCAAGGACAUGUACAAUAAUGUUGUGACAAGUGUUCGAACAAGUGAUGUCGACACCGAUGACUUCCCGAUUAAGAUAGGACUGCAUCAGGGGUCAGCUUUGAGCCCUUAUCUUUUUGCAUUGGUGAUGGAUGAGGUCACAAGGGGUAUACAAGGAGAUAUCCCAUGGUGUAUGCUCUUUGCGGAUGAUGUGGUGCUAGUUGACGAUAGUCGGACGGGGGUAAAUAGGAAGUUAGAGUUAUGGAGACAAACCUUGGAAUCGAAAGGGGCUUAG